rnacentral:snoRNA from 1 species
AUGGGCACCGUCCUAUAAUAGUUAUUUCUUAAUUGUACCUGUCUGCUAUACCCCCAUAGCAUCUAGGGAUGCUUGGUCUCAUACAU